AUUGAACGCUGGCGGCAGGCCUAACACAUGCAAGUCGAGCGGAUGACGGGAGCUUGCUCCUUGAUUCAGCGGCGGACGGGUGAGUAAUGCCUAGGAAUCUGCCUGGUAGUGGGGGACAACGUUUCGAAAGGAACGCUAAUACCGCAUACGUCCUACGGGAGAAAGCAGGGGACCUUCGGGCCUUGCGCUAUCAGAUGAGCCUAGGUCGGAUUAGCUAGUAGGUGAGGUAAUGGCUCACGUAGGCGACGAUCCGUAACUGGUCUGAGAGGAUGAUCAGUCACACUGGAACUGAGACACGGUCCAGACGCCUACGGGAGGCAGCAGUGGGGAAUAUUGGACAAUGGGCGAAAGCCUGAUCCAGCCAUGCCGCGUGUGUGAAGAAGGUCUUCGGAUUGUAAAGCACUUUAAGUUGGGAGGAAGGGCAGUAAGCUAAUACCUUGCUGUUUUGACGUUACCGACAGAAUAAGCACCGGCUAACUCUGUGCCAGCAGCCGCCGUAACAC
rnacentral:rRNA from 1 species